ACUCAUGUGGCUGAGUGGCAAAAACCACUUGGCUACCUACCAAGAUGGUGUGGGUUCAAAUCCCAACUUGAGCU
rnacentral:tRNA from 1 species